AUGCUUCAAUUUAAUUAUUUAUUGUCUUUGACUGACAUGAAAAAUUUGGACGAGGAAAACAUGCUACACAUCAUGCUCCAAUGUGUCCUCGCCAAGGAGGUGUGGAGCAAGGUUUUCGAGCCCUGGGGAAGCCGGAUUGGAUCCCUCCGAAUGGGUCUUCUUUGGCGGAUUGGUGCAGGGAUAGAGAAGGAAGCCACUUUCGAAAGAGAGAUCUUCGGGCGCUCUCGAUCCUUGUCUUGUGGGAGCUUUGGAAGCACCGCAACAGUAUCGUGUUUGAUGGAAAGUCCCCAUCGGUUGAUCUGGUAA
rnacentral:rRNA from 1 species